AAUUAAUCUGGCCAAAUAAACGCUCGACGGACUCAAGAUGUGUGACGGAUGUGGAUCGCUGGAGCCGCGCGGAUGCCGCAGCCGGGAGUUGCGAUGCGGCAUCAUGUACACCACCUGCGACUGCGUGAAGCGGAACGGUCUGCAGGACAAGUGUCCGCGGUCCGCCUGCCAGGGCAGGCCGGCCUGCCUGUGCUUCCCGUUCCCCACCUGCGGACCGGCGGCAUUCCCGCUGCGCUACGCCAACAUGAUGAUGGGCGUGAACAACAAGCGGAUGCGCUGUGCCGCCACUGGAGCGCCCAACGGCGGUGCCGGAUGCGGCGGACGCGUCGCCGGCGGCUGCUGUGGAUGCGGUCCCUGCUGCUGAGCUUCAUGCCCUAAACGCUGAUCCGUCAACAAGGAUAGCAUGUCCUGUGUUUGGUGGGCGCAGGUGUAGGAUCUAUGGACCAAAUGCUGUUGCCAGGCCCCAAAUCCUUCAGUAUGACCUCCUUCCGCAUUCCGUCGCGUGUGGUUUCUAAGUAGUUCCUGGCAAGUGUUUCGAUCGGAUCCUGAUGGGCCACUUCCUUGGCGGGACAUGUUGUCGUUUUGUGGCGCACUUUUGGUUGAUUAUAAAUUGAAGAAGUCUUAAAUCAAGAUGGAGCCAGCUGCGGAAUACCCAAUACUAGAAGGGCCCAAAGCUUUUUGGGCUCCAAUGUGAAAUUCGUCCGACUGUCUUGAUUUAAACGCAAAAUCAUAUGUUGGUCUCUGGAAUCUAUUCGGCAUUUAAUUACAAAAUAAACAAAUUAA